rnacentral:lncRNA from 1 species
UGGAAGCUAGGUUUGAGUUCCUUUCUAUUCUUUUAUUUUUUAAUGAACAUUACUGCCUUUUCGUGAAAUUGUCAAGCCUGUGCUAAUGUUAAAUUUCCUAGAAUUUUUCAGGAGUAUAAUAUGGAUCACAAGCUUGAUAUUGUUAGUCUUCUUGAACCAAGAGUAAGUGGGGCCAAGGCUGACAAAAUUAUUCCCAAGUUGGGGUUUCAAUUUUUGCAUCGCGUGAAGGCGAUUGGUUUUUCUGGGGGUAUUUGGCUUGGAUGGAAAGAUUUUGUUCGCCUUGAUGUGGUUCGUAGUAAUCUGCAAUUUAUCUUUACUCGAGUUUGGCAGAUGCCUUCACCACAUCCUAUUAUUAUUUCUUUUGUCUAUGGUAGCCCCGAUAGGCAAACGCGUCAAUUUCUUUGGAAUGAUUUGAGGAGUACAAAUCUGCUUGGGCAGAUUCCUUGGAUGGCUAUUGGUGAUUUCAACGUGAUCCUUGCUCCCUCUAAUAAAUCUAGUGGUAUUACUAAGGGUAGACAUUGCGCACAUUUUGGUUAUUUUGUUGACUCUACUGAGCUGCAUGAUUUAGGGUUUAGAGGGCCACCUUUCACUUGGCAUAGGGGUUUUUUGUCCGGGUGACUCGAUCGUGCAUUGGGUAAUGAGUCUUGGAUUCGUAAUUUUCCUAAUUGUAGGAUUACCCAUCUUCUAAAAAUCAAGUUGGAUCAUUGGCUUCUUUUUUUGGUUCUGAACCAGAGUAUUUCUCUCCCUCGGGCAAAUCCUUUUAGGUUUUUAGCCGGUUGGUUUGAACAUCCGGAUUUCAAAAGUUUUUUUAAGAAAAAUUGGAAUGCUCUAGAAAUUUUGUUGAUUCUUUUGGUAAGCUCACUCAUAAACUGAAGAGGUGGAAUAAAAAAGUUUAUGGUAACAUUACCACUCGCAAGAGGGAUCUUAUCAAAAGAAUCGCUAGCAUUCAAAGGAGAAGUGAUUACUCUAGAUCUCACCACUUAAAUCAGGAGGAUUUGUCUCUUCGCCACGAACUUAAGAAUGUACUUCACUAUGAAGAACUUCUUUGGAGGCAAAAAACGAAGUGUGAUUGGCUGAAGUUGGGGGAUAGGAACACAAAAUAUUUACAUACUCGCACUCUACAAAAGAGGAAAAGCAAUCGUAUUUAUGCUAUUUGCAACUCUGACGGCAAUUGGAUUUAUAACCCUAAGAACAUUGAAGGAGAAGCAAACGAUUUUUUUCCAAAGACUGUAUAGAGAAGCUCCUGCUCCUUUGGGUAUUUUACCUCCUAACAAGUUCCCUCAACUCAAACCUGUGGAUAUUGGUUUCUUUGGGAAACUUGUAUCUAAUAAAGAGAUCAAAGUGACCCUCUUUGACAUGGCCCUAUUCAAGGCUCCGGGCAAUGAUGGUUUUCAUGCCCUUUUUUUUCUAUAAGCAGUGGGGUAUUAUUGAGGGAGCGAUUUGCAAUUGGGUUAGGAAGAUUUUCAAUGAAAACCCUAUUAAGUCGGAUAUGAAUAAUAUUUUAAUUGUGCCCAUUCUGAAGGUUCAGAAUCUGAAAACUUUUGGUUAAUUCCGGCCAAUAAAUCUUUGUUCGGUUCUCUACGAGCUGACGAUGAAGGUAAUCGCUAAUUAUUUUAAGCACAUUUUUCCUAAAAUUAUCGUAUAGGAACAAAUUGGUUUUAUUGCAAUAAGGAAUAUCAACGAGAACAUCAUUUUAGCUCAAUAGGUAAUUCAUUCCAUGAGAUGUCAGAAAAAGAGGAAAUAGAUGGCGAUUAAAAUCGAUUUAGAGAAAACCUAUGAUAGAGUUAGUUGAGACUUCAUUGAUGUUUCUUUCUGAGCGGCAGGUAUCCUUGAAUAUCUCGUAAAUGUUAUUAUGUCCUCUAUUUCUAAUUCUACUAUGCAGGUAAUGUGGAAUAGAGUUCCGUUAUCUAAAUUCAGUCUCGUUAGAGGAAUCCAUCAAGGAUGUCCUCUUUCUUCUUAUCUUUUUGUGCUUUGUAUGGAGUGGCUUGGUCAUUUGAUUCAGGCUGCUAUCUCGGAAGAAAAUUGGGACCCUAUUCGGCUUUCUAGAGAUGGACCCGAUAUCUCGAAUUUAUUUUUUACUGACGAUGUGGUAAUCUUUAGUAAGACAGAUUCGAAGCAUUGCAAAAUCCUGAAAAUUAUUUUUGAUAGAUUUUGUGCGCUUUCCGGACAUAAAAUCAACGCUAGAAAGACUAACAUUUUCUUUUCUAAAGGCGUGGAUGAGGGUUCAAUGGAAACGAUCAACACAAUGUUGGGGAUUCAGAGAGUUCAUAACCUUGGUCACUAUCUGAGAGUCCCUUUCCUUCACCAAAGGGUUACUGUGACACUCUUUAAUUUGUGGUGGAAAAAAGUGUGUGGUAAGUUUCAAAGUUGGGAAGCCAAAAAUCUCUCUUUAGCAGGGCGGAUCACUUUAGCUCAAUCAGUUCUCUUAUCUAUUCCUAGUUAUUUCAUGCAGUUCAUGAUGAUACCUAGGAAAACUUGUGAUGAAAUUGAAUAGUUAGUCAAGCAAUUUAUCUGGGGGUCAUCCAAAAGGAAUAAGAAGAUGGUGCUGGUCAGUUGGGUCUCCAUUUGCCAAACAAAGGUGUGUGGUGGACUUGGUCUGAGGAACCUACGCGAUCAGAACAUUUCUUUCUUGAUGAAAUUAGGGUUUAAAUUGGUAUCUGAUAAAGAAGCUUUUUGGGUUCGUGUACUUAGAUCAAAGUAUCGAUUGAAGGAAGAGUUACUGAUUAGUAUUAACAGAGAUAGAAGCUCCUUUCUUUGAAAGUCUCUCUUCAAAGUUUGGUCUUUACUUCGUGAUAACUUACAUUUGCCUGUUGGAGAUGGCCACAAAAUUCAGUACUGGCAGGAUAAUUGCAUUCCUGAUAUUGGACCCUUGCUUAGAUACAUUCCUACUGAUGUUAAUCUAAAUCUUGAUUGCCGAUUGCAUGAGAUGAUUGCUGAGGAUGGUUUGUGGAACUUAGAUCUCUUUCACGUUUGGCUAUCAAAAGAGGUGACUCAAGCUAUUAAGGGUAUUCCUCAUUCACAUCCUUUUAAAGGUCCUAAUAGAAUUUCUUGGAGUCACACUUCGUCUGGUAUUUUUUCACUUAAAUCUGCCUAUAAAGCCAUCAAUGGAGGAGCUUGGAACCCUGAUGAUGAAAAAUAGAAGAUGGCUUGGAAAUUUCGUGGACCUUAACAGAUUCGUACCUUUAUUUGGACGAUUUUACAAUGAAGAGUUCUAAGUAAUGUUGAAAGAGUUAGGAGAGGUAUCUCGGACGACCCUUCGUGCCAUAUUUGCGAUUUUCACUCAAAAGAUAUUUUGCACAUCUUACGUGAUUGUCCGGCAGUUAAAGAUGUUUGGGCUCAGGUUAAUCCAGGUAAGUAUAUUCCAAACUUUUUUCUUUUCCUUUUCAAGACUGGUUUUUUCUUAACUUGCUGGGGAAUAGGUUGGUCCAUGAGGGGGGAGCUAGUUGGGAUUGCUUAUUUGGAUUGCUUAUUUGGUGCAUAUGGAAAAAUCAGAAUUUAUACAUCUUUCAAGGCAAACCGUGAGCUCAAACGAAAUAGUGCAAGGAUCUUACAAUUGGGCAAUACAUUUCUUCUCUUCCUCUCAAGAGGUCCCUUCUGGAUGUCUUGAUCAACUUGUUGAAGUCCAUACCUCUGAAGAAUAGGGUCCUCUUUUCACUAAUGGGGCAAUGCAAUUAGACUCUGGACUUACUGUAGUUGGGGGAGUUGUUCGUGAUAAGGAGGGGCAUUGGAUCACUGGCUUUCACCGUUUCCUUGGAAAAUGUUCAGUUUUUAAUGCGGAACUGUGGGGUAUUCUUGAUGGCCUUAAACUAAUUCAACGUUUGGACUAUGAUCAUGUUAUCAUUCAUUCUGAUAGCUUGGAAGCUGUUAAAGGCAUACUAGACUCUUCAAAUGUUUCUAAUUCUGCAUUAAUCUGACGUAUCCAUAAUAUCAUGUUUUAGGAAAAUCAUUGGUUCCUGCAAUAUAUUCUGAGGAAACAAAAUCAGAUUGCGGAUUGUUUAGCUAAGAAAGCUUUGCUCGAGAAAGGAGAUCUGCAAGUUAUUGACGUCCCACCCGAGAUGGCUCGUGUUGUAAUUUAUAAGACUUAGUUUUCAGGCAACUUUUUUAAUUAAGUGUUAUUCUUGUAAUUUUGUUUUUUCUCACCAAAAAAAAUUGACCCUAAUUCGAUGCAAAGAAAAUAAUUAAUUUACUUAUGAAAUUAUACGGUUUACAUUAAAAAUCGGUUAGAAUAAAAAAUCAAACCAAUUGAAU